rnacentral:snRNA from 1 species
GUACUCCCUUUGGCAACACAUACACUAAAAUUGGAACAAUACAGAGAAGAUUAACAUGGCCCCUGUGCAAGGAUGACAGGCAAAUUUGUGAAGCGUUCCAUAUUUUU